rnacentral:pre_miRNA from 1 species
CAUGUACUCCCUCCGUUCGGAAUUACUUGUCUCGAAAAUGGAUGUAUCUAGAACUAAAAUACGUCUAGAUACAUCCAUUUGUACGACAAGUAAUUCCGAACGGAGGGAGUACUAU